rfam:Haemophilus ducreyi strain 35000HP complete genome.
UAACUUAAACGAUACCGAGCUUGUUAGCCUAAGUCUAUUGAUAAGGCAGCAAAGCCUGCAAUAUAAGCGGUCGAGUUGAUGAAAUAUUUAGCUAUUAAUCGCUUAUUUUGCACAGGAUAGUAAAGAAAUGCACUAUCCUCUCAUAUUCAGAAAGGUGUCAAAUUUUCAUUCAC